UACUGACUAAUGAGGGAAGCUGAUGGUGUAGGGUGUGAGUAAGAGUGACAGUGAUUGGUCGGCCUUGGUUCUCUACGCCUAGGCGGGAGCCCCUGGGGGCGGAGACAGCGCCUGGGGGGCCUAGUGCAGUAGAGUGGUAACAAGAUGGCGACGGAGACGGUGGAGCUUCAUAAGCUGAAGCUUGCUGAACUGAAGCAAGAAUGUCUAGCUCGUGGUUUAGAGACCAAGGGAAUAAAACAAGAUCUCAUCAACAGACUUCAGGCUUAUCUAGAAGAGCAUGCUGAAGAGGAGGCAAAUGAAGAAGAUGUACUGGGAGAUGAAACAGAGGAAGAAGAACCAAAGCCAAUAGAAUUGCCUGUCAAAGAGGAAGAGCCCCCUGAAAAAAGUGUUGAUGUGGCAGCAGAGAAGAAAGUGGUAAAAAUUACUUCUGAAAUACCACAGACUGAGAGAAUGCAGAAGAGGGCUGAACGAUUCAAUGUACCUGUGAGCUUGGAGAGUAAAAAAGCUGCUCGUGCAGCUAGAUUUGGGAUUUCUUCAGUUCCAGCAAAAGGUCUGUCAUCUGACAUGAAGCCUGUGGUUAACCUGGAUAAGCUAAAGGAAAGAGCUCAGAGAUUUGGUUUGAAUGUCUCUUCAAUCUCCAGAAAGUCUGAAGAUGAUGAGAAGCUGAAAAAGAGGAAGGAGCGAUUUGGGAUUGUCACAAGUUCAGCUGGAACUGGAACUACAGAGGAUACAGAGGCAAAGAAAAGGAAAAGAGCAGAGCGUUUUGGAAUUGCCUGAUGAAAAUUUCCAAAUGCUUUCUGUUCUCCAGUGUUUUCCAUUUAUCCAGUUCUUCUUGGCCACAUAUAUAUAUAUACCUUAAACGCACAGUCAUGUGCCCACGUCCUGCCUCGCACUGAGGGAGCAUGUACCCCAGGUUCAAGUGCUGGAUUGUGUCAUGUGACCAUCCCAAAACUCAGAGCACCCUAUGGCCAUCUUUGCCCUCUGUCACAUAACUUGAAAACUGCCUGAUGGCCUUUUUGCAGUGGUUCCCUCCAGGAAGCCUUGAUCUCAGUGAAGAAGUCCUUUCCCGGCAUUCCAGUGCCCCUGGCAGCCCCAUACUCCUCAGACACCCUUAACAAAGGCAAUCACACACACAAUGUAACCAAUACACAAAGUAAAUAAUAAUUACACUAAUGAUAUGUUUGAGGGGCACUGGCCAGGUCCACACACAUCAUAAGGUGGGAGGGGGUGC